UACGGAGGGCGCAAGCGUUGUUCGGAAUCACUGGGCGUAAAGCGCGUGUAGGCGGCCCUGCAAGUCGGGUGUGAAAUCCCGAGGCUCAACCUCGGAACUGCACUCGAAACUGCUUGGCUCGAGUCCCGGAGAGGGUGGCGGAAUUCCCGGUGUAGGGGUGAAAUCCGUAGAUAUCGGGAGGAACACCAGUGGCGAAGGCGGCCACCUGGACGGUGACUGACGCUGAGACGCGAAAGCGUGGGGAGUAAACAGG
rnacentral:rRNA from 1 species